GUCAGCACCCCGCUCUGAAGAGACGGGGCUUCAUGCCUCUAACUUUAGAUAGCUGACCAGCCUCAGCCUAACGGCUACGUUUUCNUACUGUGGUAAACUCAACUCGAUGGGCACUGUU
rnacentral:sRNA from 1 species